AAUGACAUUUGAUAACGGACAUCAGAUACAGCUUGAAAAUACCUCUGCCAAAUUUUAUCGAGAUCGGUUCAGAUUUGAAUACAGCUCCCAUAUAUAUCUUUAUCCGGUUUGAAGAUUUUUAUAUACCUUCGAUAUACAUUUCCAUCCGAUUUUACGGUCAUUUUCCGUUUUUUUUUUUUACGGGAGCUCUACUAAAUACGCAUAGUGUUGUUGGGUAUCAUAUAGUCGGGCCGCCCGACUUUUGACCUUGCCUUACUGGUUUUUUCCUCACUCGCAAUGAUCACAGUGGACCAAAAGAUUUCCUAGCUAGAAAGGUAGUUACAAUCUCAAUUGCAACUACACAUCCUCCAAACUAACCUACCAAUUUUCAUCUAGCAUAAAUUUACAUUAUUUUAUUCUAAUAAUUUUUAAUUAAAAUCCAUAAAUAAUUUCAUUUA